UGGGGAAUUUUGCGCAAUGGGCUAACGCCUGACGCAGCAACGCCGCGUGGAGGAUGAAGGUCUUUGGAUUGUAAACUCCUGUCGACCGGGAAAAAGCAACUCGACCUAAUACGUCGGGGAGUUGAUUGUACCGGUGGAGGAAGCCCCGGCUAACUCUGUGCCAGCAGCCGCGGUAAUACAGAGGGGGCAAGCGUUAUUCGGAAUUAUUGGGCGUAAAGGGCGCGUAGGCGGCCUGGCAAGUGGAAGGUGAAAUCCCUCGGCUUAACCGAGGAACUGCCCUCCAAACUGCUUGGCUUGAGUCCGGGAGAGGUGAGUGGAAUUCCCAGUGUAGCGGUGAAAUGCGUAGAUAUUGGGAGGAACACCAGUGGCGAAGGCGGCUCACUGGACCGGAACUGACGCUGAGGCGCGAAAGCGUGGGGAGCAAACGGGAUUAGAUACCCCUGUAGUCC
rnacentral:rRNA from 1 species